rnacentral:rRNA from 1 species
UACAGAGGUCUCAAGCGUUGUUCGGAUUCAUUGGGCGUAAAGCGUCCGCAGGUGGACAUACAAGUCUGCUGUCAAAGUGCAGAGCUUAACUCUGUAAAGGCGGUGGAAACUGUAGGUCUUGAGUAUGGUAGGGGUAGAGGGAAUUCCCGGUGUAGCGGUGAAAUGCGUAGAUAUCGGGAAGAACACCAGUGGCGAAAGCGCUCUACUGGGCCAUAACUGACACUGAGGGACGAAAGCUAGGGGAGCGAAAGGG